CAGACACUAAUCGGGGCAUGCGCAUUCUAAGUCUUGGGAGAGUCGGUUGAACGUAUCGGAGUAGCUUCGAGAGCAGCAAAAAACUAGAGACUGCGGAGAUAUAAAAGAGGAGGAUUUGCACUUGGCAAACUGAAACCAAGCAUCACAUCAGAAUCUGACAGAGUUGCUUCAUUUAAUGUAACCUGAUCCUCAUCAGCUUUUCGACAUGGAAAGAAAAUGCUCCAUUCACAGUG